UAUUCAAUUUUUCCUGCUAAUUAUGCAAAGACUAAACAUCUCAGAAUUGUCAUAUUAAAUGUUAAUCACUAAAAACAUCAAUUCUUCCUUAAAAUUAAAUUUUAAAAGUAGAUUGUAAGCUUCCUAUUAGAAUGCAAACUUUUUAAGGACAAAGAAUUGUUACGUGUUUGGUUCAAGGCCGGGUCAAUAGUGAGUGCUUAUAAAAAAUGAUAUCCAUUACAGACAAGCAAAGGAGGAGAAACAGUCGCAGGCAAGAGGAGACCAGAGAGACGUAACUAAAUGUCAUGUGGGAGCUUGGACCACAGAAGGCACCUUAGUUUAACUGAAGCCAUGACACUGACCACCAUGACCCAAUCUUUCAAAACCAGUGAUGUGCCAUGAGUGCCAUUUUGUGAGAAGCCAUUUGUAUUUUGAGCAAACUCAGUGGCCUGAUGAUGACUGACAGGGAUGGCAACAUAACAGCAUACAUGGACUCAAGAUAUAGCAGAGAAGAACUUCUUAUACAUCAGCUCAUUUACUCCUUACAGCAACCCUAAGAAGUAGGUAACGUUAUCAUAUCCUAUUUCACAGAAAGGAAACAGACAGUACAAGCAACCUGCCAGAAGUCACACAGUCCAUUAGUGGGGAACUGGGAUUCAACCCUAAAAGUCAGGUUCCAGACAAUCGUGCUAAAUGUUUGGAGUCCCUGCCUGUCCUUCAAUUGGAGGGAAGAUUAAGGGGCAACUGAACACAACCUGCAAAUUUCACCAGAGAAGUUGUGACUUGAAUGCAAUCCAGAAAUGUAGCUGCCAGAUGCCGUUUUCCCAACAUUUGAAAAUCUGGGCUAAAGCGAAUUUCAUUGUAUCGGGAGGGAAAAGGAAUGGACUUAUUAUAUGAUGGUACAUACACAGCUUCAAAAAAGAAGACAUGCAUAUUAAUUACACAGAAGAAUGUCAGUGAUACAGAAAUUGAGAGAAAAAUAUAAACGUAUAAAAGUAUAUAAAAUAUGAUGCUACUGCUGUUCAGAAAAAUUUUUUAAACACACAUACACAAUUAUAUGUGCAGAGAAAAAAGGUCUGAAAUAAACAAGGUGAUCAGCAGAUAAAUCCAUCCAGUGAACAGAAACUUUUUUAAUCUGUAAAUUUCUGUAACCAUGGAUUUAAAAAUCUAUAUUUAAAAUGUAUACAAUAAAAGUCAAUUAAAACAAUACCUGC
rnacentral:lncRNA from 1 species